CACACCAUUUCUUCUUGUUUUUAUCCUCCGAUCAAACCAAAGAAGAACAUCACUUUCUUGUAUCUCCUAAUGGCGUCCAUUUCCAAUCUCGCAAAUCUUGCACCCGCCACUGCUACCAACUCCAGAUCUUCUUCUACUUCCUCCGUCUUACCAAGAUCCUUCCUCAACCUCCGCAGUUUGAACGCUAAGCUUUCCUCUUCUUCUCAUCUCUCCCUUCGUCACCACCAAACAUCCAGACCUUCCCUCUUGUAAGUCUUUCUAUUUGUCUCUGUAUGCUCUGUUUCGAAUCUCAAGUUGGUUCCUUUCGUAGAAUAGUUUAAUCGGAACUAGAAAAGUUAUUAACUUUGUAAUAGUAUGGAUUAUUGAAAAGCUUAGACUAUAUGUUCCUUUUCUCUGUAUAGUCUCUUUCUUGGUCCAUUUUUGUAAGACUAGUUUAAUUGAAAAGUAGAAAGUAAUUAACUUUUUUUUUUAUAAGAUGGAUUAAGACAAGCUAGGACUAUAUGUGUUGUCUUGUUGAUGAUUAUGUCUUGUUUCGCUUUUGGUUUAUAUUUGCAGUGUGAGGUGUUCAGCCUCUGGUGGAAACGGAAGUGCUGCAAAGAGAACGACUCUUCACGAUCUAUACGACAAGGAAGGUCAGAGUCCUUGGUAUGACAAUCUUUGCCGUCCCGUCACUGAUCUCCUCCCCUUCAUUGCCCGUGGUGUUCGUGGCGUUACUAGCAACCCUGCGGUAACUUUAUAUAACCAUCUCUCUCUCUCUCUCUCUUUGUGCCCUUUAACUUGUCUUAAACUCCUUCACUUGUGUAAAAACCUUUUGCAGAUCUUCCAGAAAGCCAUAUCCACUUCAAAUGCUUAUAAUGAUCAGUUCAGGUAACUCCUUUACUACAACAUGUAUGCAUCUUAUCUUAUUAGGCUUUGUUUUGAGUUAUCUUUUUGCUUCUUAUGUUUCUUUUAGAGUUUAUUUGUGAUUUGUUCUAUCUUUGAUUUUUUUUUUUAUGGAAACUUUAUUAGGACGCUUGUGGAAUCAGGAAAGGACAUUGAAAGCGCCUACUGGGAACUCGUGGUGAAGGAUAUUCAGGAUGCGUGCAAGCUCUUUGAGCCAAUCUAUGACCAGACAGAAGCUGAGGAUGGCUACGUCUCCGUUGAAGUCUCGCCUAGGCUUGCUGAUGAUACCAACGGCACUGUUGAAGCUGCUAAAUAUCUUCACAAGGUGGUGGACCGUCGUAACGUCUACAUUAAGAUCCCUGCUACUGCUCCAUGCAUUCCUUCCAUCAGAGAUGUCAUUGCUUCUGGAAUAAGCGUCAACGUCACGGUAAAUGCAUAUUUUGAUGUUCUUAUUAUCUAAAUGUUCCUUUCUCAUGUUGGUCUUAACUGAUAUAUCUUUUGCCUGUUCUGUUUCACAGCUUAUAUUCUCAAUAGCUAGAUAUGAGGCAGUGAUCGAUGCAUAUUUGGAUGGGCUUGAGGCUUCUGGACUUGAUGACCUCUCUAGAGUUACAAGUGUUGCAUCUUUCUUUGUGAGUCGGGUGGAUACUCUUAUGGACAAGAUGCUUGAGAAGAUUGGUACCCCAGAAGCCUUAGACCUCCGUGGCAAGGUAAGAAGCUAGGUUCAUCAAUGACAAUCUUACACACAGUCACUUGUUAUUCUAGUAUGAUGACACAGGGAUGAUGUGACUCUUUGCAGGCAGCUGUGGCUCAAGCUGCAUUAGCAUACAAGCUGUACCAGAAGAAAUUCUCAGGACCAAGAUGGGAGGCUCUGGUGAAGAAAGGUGCCAAGAAGCAGAGGCUUCUCUGGGCAUCGACUAGUGUUAAGAACCCAGCUUACUCUGACACCUUAUAUGUCGCUCCUCUCAUUGGACCUGACACUGUGAGUCAUCUUUUUUAUUUGUUUAAUAUUUAGUCUAUUAUGAAAAUCAAAAGGCUGUAGAUUUUUGUAAACAAGUGUUUCUUUUUUUAAAUUGGGGGUUUAGGUGUCAACCAUGCCGGAUCAAGCACUGGAAGCAUUCAUAGAUCAUGGAACCGUGAAGAGGACUAUAGAUGCAAAUGUGUCGGAAGCAGAAGGGAUUUACAGUGCACUAGAGAAGCUGGGAAUAGACUGGAACAAGGUGGGAGAACAGUUGGAAGAAGAAGGUGUUGACUCUUUCAAAAAGAGUUUUGAGAGUCUUCUUGGUACACUACAAGACAAGGCCAACACUCUCAAAUUAGCCAGCCAUUGAAUGAACACCAAAAAGAAGCUUGUCUUCACGGUUUGAGUUUGGGUCUUCAUUUUGGUUUACGGUGGUAAUAAAAUAAAAAGAACCUUUGUGCUUUUGUUCUACGGACACUAUGCUUUCUAGAGAUGUUAUAAUGGCUUUUGUUUCAUGUUCACAAUUUGGGUUCUUGUCUUAUGGUUCUUGUAUGAUGGAUGUUUAAUUUUCAAAUACUAAAAAGCUACUUUCGAUGUGAUGAUAAGAUUAAACUUUUAAUGAUAUAACUUAUAGAUUUACAAUUAAAUAUGAACAUAAACCAGUGUUAGCUUCUGUUGCUUGGCUUUGUUCUAUGGCCAGUGCUUGUUCAAUAUCAGAAUCGUCAUUAAUAGAGACGAGGAAAAACAAAACAGAAACUAGAUGCAGUUUAAGGGCUUGGUUUGGUAAGAUUCACGAUUGUUACACAAAACUCGUAUGUUCAUUUGUAAGAAGACCAUAGAGUAAGUCCUGUAAACGUAUCUUUGCAGUUACCAAUGCAUCAACUGAGAAACAAAAGGAGGUCAAGAAAGGGCUUAAAACAUUGUCUUAUGACUGUCUAAAUAUACCUCAGCCCUUUGAUAUGUUGCUGCCUAGAUAUCACAUACUGAGCCACUGAGUAGACAAUGCCUAAAACUCCCAGAAGGCGAACCUGAAACACGUCCGUUAUAACCACGGCUGCAAAGCUAAGUGGCAAAGUCAGCAUCGGCGACGGGUCUGAGUUUUUAGUGCUGUAACUCCACACGUAUCUGUUGAAUAUAAUGUGACCCGGUGCUGUGAGUAUUAAAAGAGCGAGGUUCUUCACCGCAAAGAACCAUUCACGCCCUCCAAUUUCUACUCCCCAACCUGUGUUUCCACCGAACCAAACUUCUUCCCAUACAACGUACAGAGAGGAUAAAGCCAAGUAUGUUGAUAUAGCUAGCGUGACGGGGAAGUAUCUCUGUUUGUCGCCGAACCCGGAUAAGAGAUCAGAGUCUUGGUUCAGGAGAAGUAAGAUAGGAGCCAGGAAGAAGAUCGCUUGGCUUGAGCCGCCGGAGAUGUGGAUGUUGAGAAUUAAGCAUAUGGCAAAGCACACGAUGGUGGCAACGUUACCAACCGCAGGCAUCCAGGCCGCUCCUUAUUGCUGGAUCUCGAAGUAGCACCGCUAGUUCGACGAUCGAUGAAGCUUCGGGUUGAGGCGGGGCUCAUGUGGGGAGAGUAGUUGGGAGAAGACGAGGCUUGUUCACUUGACCCGGCGUUGCUGCAUCAACCUCGUUCGUGUUGGGAACAUCCCACUUGCGCCGCCUUGAGUUUUUGACUGACCACUCUUCUCAGAGACUUUCUCACGCAAAAGCGAAGUGAGCUCAAACUUGAUCAAGAGAGCUAUGAGCAUAAAGAUCGCUGCAUAGAGACCUAGAAGAGAUGUUCUUGCACCUUCAAUGGCCAACAUCGCUGUGACUUUCUUAUCCUCCUCCCUUGCAUCCCAGCCCCAGGCAGCAUUAUCCCCGAGAUCAUUUUUGAUUCUAACCUGACCUUCUAACAGAUAUGUCACUGGAAAUAGAGCCACGAGAAGAGCAAACACCCAGGGAAGCAGCUUUGUGCUUGAGGCAGAUGGAAAAUGGGUGAAGAUGACAAAAACCGAGGCACACACCAUUGUUACAACAAUCAGAGCGUGUAGAACAGCAGCUUGUAGAAAGAACUCUGCAGAUAUGUAAACACCGAGAGCUAGACCCAUGGCAACGGAGUAAAAUGCUCUCAGUUCUACCACGUAUUUGAUUGGGAUUAGAGAUGUGGCAGCAGCGAGAAUCAACAGGAGUGCCACAAUCAACAACCAAGAUGGCCAAGUCGGUUUGGAUGCCAUGAAUCCGUAGAUAGAGAUGUCAUCAGCUGACUGACGAGCGGCCUUGAUCAUUUCUGAAUGGUAACUCCAGGUCAUAGGCAUCGGUGGCUGCAUCAGAAUAAACAUGCAUCCAGUUGCCACUACCAAUACCAGGCUUCUCUUAGCGGACUGCAAAAAAAAGACGAUAAUUGCCCUAUCAGUGAUAAGCAACAACUGAACCAUCUCUUAUUAGUAUUUAAACACUUAAAAUCAAGACCUUAGUUCCAGCACCACUACACGUACAUAAGUCUUACUACUCCAUGAAAUUUAAUUGCAGGUUUAUAAAACGAGUGCUUUCAAGAAUAGAUGUAAAUAAAUUAAUUUAAAAUAUUCUUCUUCUCAUGCUUUUUAUUUAACUCCAUGAUGUAACCUCUGACCGUAAUAGACAAACUCAUAACAUGUUAAAUGACCCCAUAAGAACCGAGAACUAGAGGCUUGCUAAAGAAAUGCUGCUAUCUUUAGGUCACCUAAGAAUCUUACAGAACACUUUCAUAGGUAGCAGUGAUAACUGGUUUGAAUCAUAUAUGGAAGAUGGUUCCUUUUAUAUAAUCAGAUGGAAGAUAAAACAAACGAAACAUGCAAUGAUGCAAAUAGUAAACAGACAUACCAGGACAUGCGAAAAGUGGAGUGCAACAAUUGGUAUACAGGCCAGACCAAUUAAAACGAUGCAGAAACCAAGAAGCAAGCCAUCAGACGGUGGUCUUCCAUUCCACCACUGUAGAGCAUCAAAUAUCGUUUCUCGGCAAAACCAAACAGAGAUAGCAACCACUAAGGCAUGAGCAUAACCUUGCCAUGGUUUCAUUUUAGAGGCAGAUUUCGACUUCUCCCUGCACAUUCCACCAACAGAGUCAAAUAGAAUCAAUGUUAAAAUUCAAGGUGAGAUGAUGUCUGUAAAAGUCAAAAUCCCUAUUACGUACUUGUAUAGCAGCAAGGGAGGGGAAACAGCCAGCAGUAGAGCUGCAGACACCCAUACAACUGAUUUUGAUGAAAGGAACAGCAUAGCCAACUUUGAUGAAUACAGACAAGUCAAGAUCCAGACCGCCUUUGAUCCAAUUCGGUGAUCAGCAAACAGUCUCCUCACCACAGCCAAUCCAAUUAGCGUCGUCGAGAUAACCAUGUAACUAGGGUACAUCACAUCGUCUUCCAUUCCAUAAUGGUAUAUGGUUGAGUAAUUAAAAAAGCGGUCCUCAAUGUAGCACAGCAAUAAUGCGUGGGCCACCAUACCAGCUUCGGCCAGGAAGUGAAAUUUUGAUGGGAGAAGAACAAGACCAGGGAUGACCAUGGCUAUGAUAAUGUUGGCCACUAUAAGCUUACAGAAUGAUUUGAGGAACAUGCCGGCUAGCCAUAUGUUUAAAUCCCAGUAGUUGUGCAUUACGAACCAUAUAACCAUUAAGCUUCCAAGCGCAACAAAUGCAAAGUAAGAGGGCACACUUUUCUUUGUGAAAAAACGAGCAAAAUAAAGCCCAGCGACUGCAGGAAGAGGAGUAAACUGCAAGAAAAACCGAGUGAAAUUCAUUUAUUACUAUAGAGGUGGUCAUAAAUCAAGCACAGGGCAUUACAAAUGAGGCAAUUAACAAACUCCAAGGUGUCAACUUUCAGAAGUAGCUAUUACAAUGAAAACUCAAGGAACUAGUUAUUGAUAACAAUAGCAACAUAAGCUAUGCAAUUGGAAGUAAAAUACUUACCAGAAGUGGAAAUCCUACAACAAUAGCUCCAGCAGAACUCACAAUCACAGCUAAAGCUGUGAAAAAGGCAGAGCUAAGACCACUCGAGAUCAUUCCAAGAACCGAAGCACCAGCGCCAGCAGCACCUCCAAGCAUCGUCGUCGUCACCAGAAGGUAGUUCAACGGAGGGGGAACUUGGAUAUACUUCCCAAAGGAGCGAAAAACAACUCUAAUCUCCAAACAAAUCACAAUCACAACCAAAGCAACAGCCCCAUUCACAAUCCGAAUGCUCUGCAGCUGACGGGAGUCCUUGGUAACCCACCAAAGACCACCUCUCGUCGAGGCGUAGAGCUGAAACAGGAAAGGGACGAAGAACAGGAGCAGCAGAUCGGAGACCGAAGCAGCUGACGAGAACAUCACAGAGUAAUGCGACGCCACGUGGAAGAGAAGCGGCAUGAACAUCAAAUUCAGCGAAAGGAAAGAGCUCUCGAGAGAUCCAAGGAUGUAGUUAUCCUCAGGGAUCUCUCCUCCGAGGUACUUAGCCUCCUGCUUGGUCUUGAACGACGAAACCCUAGGAAUCGCGAAAAGCCAGUAGAACACGCAAGCGAACACGAGGAAGUAGUAAGACGAGCUGCUCAUCCCGACGGCGGAGAUCGUAGCCCAGGCGAAAAGCGAAGAGGCGGUGAAAGGAGCGCAGGCGAACAAGAGACGCUCGAGAGCGACGACGAUCGAAGGAUUCUCGAGCUGGAGCCACUUGAACUGGAGCGACGUCCAGCAUCCGAUGAGGAACGUGGUCUCAGCGCAGAGAAACGCCGCGAGGAGGCCGAGGGGGAGGGAAUUGAAGGAGGAGAGGAGGGAGGAGGAGAAGAAGAAGGCGAUCUGGGCCGUGAUGAGCGACAUCCAUAUCCCGAGGAAGGCUCCGAACUUGACGUCGAGGGAAUCGACGAUGUAGGAGAUGAGGAGGCCGACGGUGAGGGUGGCGAUCACCGGAGCGCCGCCGAGGUCGAGGAGGAAGGCGGCGCAGGGGACGAGAGCGAGAGCGAUGCGUCCGUUGUAGGCGAAGGAGGAAGGAGAGAAGCGAGAAUUGCUGGAUCUCGAAGUAGCACCGCUAGUUCGACGAUCGAUGAAGCUUCGGGUUGAGGCGGGGCUCAUGUGGGGAGAGUAGUUGGGAGAAGACGAGGCUUGUUCACUUGAGGAGGAGGUGGAGGAUAUGUGCGGCCGGAAUAGCCGCGGCUGCAGCUCCGGUGGCAGCAUCUUCGCCGGAGUUUUUCUUUGAAUACAGAUUGAUGGCGAAAUCUCUCUCCGUUCACUGAUGGUGAAUUGAUCUGUGGGUUGAUUUUUUUCGCGGAAACGGUGACGUGUUAGGAAGAGUAGCAGCCGUUGGAUCUUAAAAGUGGGGCUUCUCAAUCCUCUAGCUUUCGUAGGUCCGCAUCCAGAGAAUAGCAUCUCAAUCCAAGCAAAACACUGUCGUUUCGUCAUGUGAGAGUGAUAAGUCAACGAAACACGACGUCUUUACACAAAUUUUCCUAAAGCAAGUCAUGUAAUUAAGACUAGAUUCUCACAAAGGGCGGAUUAUUUAAAGCACUAAUAAUUUAACAAAUAGCUCGUAAAUUUGUAAGAAUUUUAUGUAUUUAAAAUAUUUUUGCAUUUAAAUCAGUAUUUUAAAAUUUAAUCCGAACAUGUGGUCAAAUCGGUUAAUCCGGUCAUCCGAUAAUUUGAUUUAGGUUUUUAAAAAUAUUCAUAUUUGAAAAAUCAUUAAAACCCGAGACUAACCCUAAAUCCAAUGUGAUUUAUAUCAUUAUAGUUUCAUAAUUUUCACCUUUUAAUCUAAAUUUUAUAGCUCAUUGUUUUGCAAUUUUAUGAAAUUAUAACGUUUCUACAAAAUUUUGAUAGAGAAAAUGAUAGAUAUAAGAUAAUUAACAACUAUAAAUAUGUCUUGAUCAUGUUACUCCCUUUUCUAUUGUAUAAUUAAUUUAUUAUAAUUAUGUUGUGUAAUUUACCUUGUUAAUAAUUUAUAUUAUAAUUGGUUUAAAUUUCUUGUUGAGCAUUUUUAUUUAGAUAACAUAUAUUUUGAACAUUUUUCAUAAUUACUUUUGUUAUUAUAUUUAUUGUGCAAUGUAUAACGUUUAUAUAUAUAUAUAUACAUGUAAUGGCUAUUAUUGAAUUAUUAAGUUACCUAAAUAAAUGAUAUAACUAUUAUUUAGUAAUAUAAAUAAGAUAAUCUGUUAAUUUAAUUAAUUUAUUAUUGAUUAAAAUGUUUUUGUAGUAUUUAAACAUGUUAAAAUAAGUUCAAUUUAUUUUCAUUGUUUUAUAAAUUAUUUGAAAUUUUCAGUUAUUUAAUUUAUCUAAAUGAUUUGAAAGAAAAUUGUUAGAAAUUCUUAAAAAGAUGAGUUCUAAUGUUUUAUUUAGUUUGGAUACAUGAUUAGUUUUAACGUUGUUUGGAAACAUGACUAAUAGUAUUAAGAGAAAAAAAUAUUGUUUGGAAGCAUUGAUAGUAGUAUAAAGAAAUUAAAUUAGUGAUUUAAUGUAGGUUUAACUAUAAAGUAGAAAGAUGUAUUUAAUUUAAAAACUUACAAAAUAAAUGUUAAGUCCAAUCCAAUGUUUCUGUUUUAAUAAUAUAGAUGGUUCACAUUUCACGAGCAACUCCGAUUAUGAGUGGUUAACAAUGAGUCUAAGAAUUUUAAUAUUCAGAUGGAAAAUAUUACCAAUUCUUUUUAAAUAAAUUUUAGCCUUAGGGUUUAUAACUUUAAGGUUUUAAGAUAUAGUAAAUUAUUUAUAUGAUAGUUUGAAAGCAGAAUUGAACAUGCUCUAACCGAUAGCUAAACCACCCAUGAGUUCAAACCAAAAACCACACAACAAACAUACAAUCGAGACAGGGUUUAAAAGGCGCAAUAAGCAGAGAACUACUAUUCAGAAAUCAUUAAACAAGUAAUGCAACUAUUCAGAAAGACAUUAAACAAAGGAAAUGUAGAAACUGAAAUUCAAAUAAUGCUAUUAAAUAAAUAUCAUAGAAGCAAUGACAUACUAGUAUCAUACCCAGUGUUUUGAAAACUGGAUCGGACCGGCCGGUCGAACCGGUCGGACCGUAACUCAGUCUUCUAACCGAUUCCUAAUUGUACUAAAAACUGGAUUUGAGUUAAACCGACAAACCCGGUAAAGAACCGGUGACCCAGUUCAAUAUUAAAAUCCGAUUUUCUCAAUUAAAAUUAAAAAAUUAAAAAAAAUUGCAAAUUUAUAAAUAUUUAAUUUAAAAUCAUAUUUUUAAAAGUAUAUUUCCAAAUAAAUUAGUUUUCGUUAUAUUUUUAUAUAUAUUUAAGUUUUUAUUUAUUUAUGUAUCAAUUUUAGUUAGAUUCUAGAAAUGAUAUAAAUUUUUAUAAAAAUAAUUGUAUAUAUAUAUAAUUAUUUAAAUUUGAUUAUAAUUUAAAACCCGGUUGAACCGGUUAGACCGGUGCGACCAUUGACCCAGUUACAAUGCCGAGUCAAUGUCCGGUCCGGUUUUUCAAAACACUGAUCAUACCAAAUACAUUUUUGAUCAUCGAGAUAACAUAUUUACAGAGUAUGAUACAUAAAUCAUAUAUGAAUCAUGAUGCAUAAUGUCAUAUAAUUGCUCACACAUCAAAAUUUAACAAUAAAAUUGCAAGAACAUGAUGCAUAAUGCAGAAUGUAUUGUAAAUGCAAAAUGCAGAAUGUGCAUACACCAACUGAAGUUUAUGCAUGAUGUAAAAUGUAAGAUGCUCAUACAAGAAGAAAAAUAAUUUAUAAAACAACACAAAUGUCAUAAUUUCUCAAACAUCCAAACUUAACUAUAAGAUUGCAAGAACAUGAUGCAUGAUGCAAAAUGUAUUGUAAAAUGUAAAAUGCAAAAUGCAAAAUGCAAUGUAAAAUGUAAAAUGCAAAAUGCAGAAGUGUAUAAGAGGUACAAUCAAAAUUAAUGCAUAAUGUAAAAUGUAAGACGCUCUCAUACAACAACCAAAAUUUAACUAUAAAACUGCCAAGAGGAAAUCAAAGGGUUAAAUUGAUAACUUAGAGAGUUUAUGGAGUUAAGCAAAUAAAAACCACAAACUACAUGAGACUCAACUAAUUACAAAGAGGUUUGAAAAGCAUAUACCUGUCGCAGAAGUCUGAUACACUUGGAAUGUCCUCAGAAUCUCUAACGAUUUGAACACCUUCUGAAGCACAAACCUGAAGAAAUAAAAAAAAAGUAAUUAGUCUUUAGAUCAAGUAGCAUGCCCCUUGCUUACCUCUGUUACUUCCCAGAUCAUGAAUUAGUCUUUUAUAAGCCUUGUGGUAGAGAAACGAUUGUGUCUUUGUCCUUGGUUGUUUGUUCCUUCCAACAAGCUGAAAGCUGAACAACUAUAAGGCUCUAUAUAAGCCGUGGGUAAGUACUUACAUUCAAGAAUCUGUUUCCAGUUUGAAGCCUUUGUCUUAAGACUUUCUCAAACCAUUGAUCUUUAAAUAACUGAAAACAGAUUUGAGUCAAGCCGUGGGUAUGGUAAAGUCUUCUGUCUUAAAGACUAGAGAGAGCCGUCUGGGUCUUAUUUGCCAUCCUCAAAUGACUCCAAACGGUCCCAAUGUCAUUGAAUCUGUCUAAAGAUUUUUAACCAAUAUUGUCCAUGUCUAGAGAUUUUAUAAGCCGUGGGUAGUUCAGUCAAGAAUCUGUUUUCAGUUUGUAGUCUAUGUUUUAAGACUUUUUGUCGUUAAACUCCAUCUCAUUCAAGUAACUGAAAAACAGAUUUGAGUCAAGCCGUGGGUAAGUAAAGCCUUUUGUCUUUAAGACCAUAAAGAGUCGUGUGGUGUUAUUUUUCAUCGUCUCACCUAUUAUUUUUCCAUCCAACAAGUCUUUUAAUCGAUCCAUUGUCUACUUUUGUAAGGCGUGGGUGUAAGGUAAGGAAUCUGUUUUAAGUUCUUAGUCUUUGUCUUAAGACUUUCCUGUCGUUAAACUCCAUAUCAUUCAAGUAACUGAAAAACAGAUUUGAGUCGAGUCAAGCCGUGGGUAAUUAAAGUCUUUUGUCUUAUUUGCCAUCCUUCAAUGACUUGUUCUAAGAAGCUAUUCGUUUGUUCCCACCGAACAAGCUUCCAAACUGCUCCAUUGUCACUGAAUCUGUCUAAAGAAUCUUAACCGAUAGGUGUCUUUGUCUAUAGACUCUUAUAAGACGUGGGUAAAGUAAGUACUUACUUUCAAGAAUCUGUUUUCAGUUUAAAGUCUUUGUCUCAAGACUUUAUCAAACCAUUGAUCCAUUUCUCUUCCCUUUUAAUAUCUGAAAACAGAUUUGACUCAAGCCGUGGGUAAGUAAAGUCUUUUGUUUUUAAGACCAUAAGAGUCCGUGUGGUGUCUGUCAUCUACCAUCCUCAAAUGACUUAUAUUCUAAUCAGAUGGUCGUUAAUUUCCAUCCAACAAGUCUUUGAUUCUGCCCCAUUGUCAUUGUCUUUUAAAGACGUGGGUGUAGUAGUAAGGUAAGGAAUUUGUUUUCAGUUCUUAGUCUUUGUCUUGAGACUUUCUUAAACCGACUGUCGUUAAACUCCAUCUCAUUCAAGCAACUGAAAACAUAUUUGAGUCAAGCCGUGGGUAAGUUAAAGUCUUGUCUUAAAGACCAUAAGGGUCGUGUGGUGUUCUCCUUGCCAUCCCCUAAUGACUUGUUCCAAGAAGCUGGUCGUUAAUUUUUAUUCAUCCAGUCCUGAGCCCCUAUCAUGUUUCCAUCCACCAACAAGUCUUUUAACCGAUCAAUCGUCUACUUUUGUAAAGCCGUGGGUGUGUGUGUAAGGUAAGCACAAUCUGUUUUCAGUCUCUUAGUCUCUGUCUUAAGACUUUCUCAAACCGUUGUCUUUAAACUCCAUCUCAUUUAAGAUAACAGAUUUUGAGUCAAGCCGUGGGUAAGUAAAGUCUUUUUGUCUUUAAGACCAUAGAGUCGUGUGGUAUUAUUUGCCAACACGUAAUGACAUGUUCUAAGCCGCUGGUCGUUAAUAUUCAUCCAGUCUUAAAACUGCCCCCACUGUCAUUGUAUUUCCUAUAAUAAUGUUUCCAUCCAAAAAGUCUACUUUUAUAAGCCGUGGGUAAUACAGUCAAGAAUCUGUUUUCAGUUCUUAGUCUUUGUCUUAAGACUUUCUCAAACUGUUGGUCGUUAAAAUCCAUCUCAUUCAAAGAACUGAAAACAGAUUUGAACCAAGCCGUGGGUAGUAAAGUCUUUUGUCUUAAAGACUUUCUCAUAGAAUCCAUCUCAUUCAAAGAACUGAAAACAGAUUCGAACCAAGCCGUGGGUAAGUAUUUGUCUUAAAAGACUAUAGAGCCGAUCCAUUGUCAACUUUUAUAAGCCGUGGGUAAUACAGUCAAGAAUCUGUUUUCAGUUCUUAAGUCUUUGUCUAAAGACUUUCUCAAACCGUCACAUUCAAAGAACUGAAAACAGAUUUGAACCAAGCCGUGGGUAAGUAAAAGUCUUUUGCCUUAAAGACUAUUAUAGAGCCGAGUGGGUCUUAUUUGCCAUCCCCUAACAUCCUUCCUUAAUACAAUGCACUACCAAACCCAUAGUAUCGGUCCAAUAAACAAUCUUGCUAGGGGAUGGUCUUAUAGAGGCAGCAACGGGACAAUGUUCCCAAAUAAGAAUCUGACACAACACUAUUAGAUUAGUGUCUGCCUAUGAUCUUUUUUGGGUUUCGAGUGAAAAAACAAAACCUUCAAAACAAAACAAAACAAAACAAAGUUUGAUUUCAAAAUCCCCAAGACAUGAAACAAAGAAUCUCAAAACGAAAACCAUAUAAUAAAGCUUCAAAACAAAACGGGAAACUCUUAGCCCAGACAAAGAAUCCAACUUAAACUCUAAGCCAAGGAAGACAGAUUAAAAGCAAAUCGCGAACGUAUUUACACGAAACUUAGUAACCCUAAAAUAGAUUGAGACGACUAACGAGAAAAAAAAAAAGAAACUCUGAUCAAGAUCAAUAGAUCAAAUUAACCGAUUAGACAAACUUUGAAGCCCUAGAAGCCAAAUCGCAUAUCAAAAAUUUCACGGGCAACUUAGAAAUCUUGAUACAAAUACAGCGAUCGAAACACUUACAUAUCUGAGAAAGUAAACGACUCUCUGUUUGUUUCUGGAAGAGACGACUGAAAGGAGAGACCAAAUACGAAAAAGGGUUUCGUUCGAGAACUCGCGUCGUCUCCUAAUGGUUGGUUAUAUAGAGUCGACUUCGAUCGAGCACAUUCUUGGGGGAAAAAAAAGGAAAGAAAGAAAGAAGUGCUUUGAUAAACACGCGUUUCUCCUAACGGUUAUAUUUUAAUUUUGAGUCGGUGUAUUUUGUAAUCGAACCGGUCCUGAAUUCUUCCAAUAUAAACCAAACCGGUUCUUUUUCCACGUUGGCUAAAUAUUAACCGACGUCGUUUUUCAUGUCAAUUUGGCAAUUUCUAACUUUUUUUUUUCUUGGGUUACACUUCCGAGAAAGAAAACUAAUCACAUAUUUUUUUCUUUCAUAAAAUAUGGUUGGUGAGGUAGUCAUUAGGGUUCUUAGCAAUGGAAUCCGCUUUGCAUUCAUUUUCACAAAAAUAACAUCAAAUAACUUAUAGCUUAAUAUGACAUGGACAAUUACAUUUAAUGUUAAUUUAUAUUUUUGGUAAACUUUUAAAAAUAUAGUAAUAACUCAUAUAUUACAUUUAAUGUCGAUUUAUAUUUUUGGAAUUUAUUUUAUAAAAUGGUAAUAACUCAUAAAUCAUCACUAAAAUAAAUAUAUUCAAUAUGGCAUUACAAAUUUCGAAAUAUCACUUAAUUAUAUAUUUUUAAAUUAUACAAUUUUAUUACUAAAACCUUCAAAAAUGUAUACAAUUUUUUUAGAAAAUUAUAAAAUUUAAUCGUAAAAUCAUUAGUUUCUUAUAUAUCUACAAAACUUAUAAAUAUUGUUUAAUUUUAAUUGUUUAUAAUUAUGCAAUUUUUUACAAAUUUAUUUAAUAUAUUUAAUUAAAAUAAAUAGAUAGAAAAAUCUAUCUAAGAUUAUAAUUUUAAAUAAAUCAUGCAUAUUCGUAAAUAUAAUUUAAAAAAAAAAAUAUUUUUACCUUAAUUUUUAUGUUUACUUAAAUUAAAUUUAUAUUAAAAUAUUGAUAAGAAAGCAAAAUUAAUAAAAUUAAUAAAUUUUUAUUUUUAAAUAUAAUUUAUAUUUAUCUGUUAGAAAAAUAUUUUAAAUUUUUUUGCUGCACAUGGUGCAGGAAAACACCUAGUUACUCUUAUAAAAAUUAUCAUUUACAAUAGAAAAAAGAUGAUUUAUAAAACAUCUUUCAUACUAUAAAACAUAAGUCAGUCAGUAAUUGUGUUACUAUAAAACAUAAGUCAGUUAGUAAUUGUGUGAAUGGCAUGUGUCUUUUUGGAUUUUUUUUUUAUUUGUUGUUUUCCCAAACGUAUUUUAAAUGAUUUUUUAUUUGUUUUACUUUACUUAGAAAUCAUAUUUUUAUGAAUUUGUUAUACUUAAUAAACAUGUUGGUUUUCUUUUUCGUGGUAUAUUACAAUUUGUGCAGUAACAUAAUUUUAUUAUUCAAAAUUUAUUAUUUUCACACUUUCAUUCAUAAUCAUUUUAAUUCUAUCAAUGUUUUUGUUCGUAAUUAAUAAUACUAGGGGUAUAGCCCCCGUGCAAGCGCGGAGCCGGAUAAGUUAUUGAUCGUUGUGUAGUUUUGUGUACGGGAUUUUGUCGUUUGUUUUUUUUCCACUUUUGUUUUUCCGUGUUGUAUAUAAUGGUGAUGAAAAUAACAUUUGGAAGUCACACAGUUUGAUUAAAUUGAUAUAAGAAUGACCGGCGAAUUCAUAUGCAUUAUUUUUGUAAUGAUUUGAUCGACCAUUAGCGUUAUUAGGGCUUUCAUGUUCAAAAGAUAAAGUUUAUGAAGUUGUUUAGUAUUUACUUAGGUAGUUGUUAGUAUAUAAAACAAAUAGUGUAAGGAACAAAAUAUAAAAUUUGAAUUCAAAAAAUUAAAAAAUUUAUCGAACAAUAAAUUAAAUUAUUUUCUUAUUUUACCUAAAUUAAUUUCAAAAUAAUAGAACUGUAAUAAAAUAUUUUUAAAAAAAAUUAAUAACUCGAAAAAUUUAUAAAAUUAUACGGUUGCAAAAUUAUUUAUUUUUAGAGUUUUACUCGACUUUGUUAAAAAUAGUUUAUGGUGGACAAAAAAAAUGUCAGAAAUAGGUAAACCAAAAAAAUACACCACUGACAAAUCUUGUAUGAGUUAGAACCCGUCGACGUUUCAUUAAUAAUCCAAAACAGAAAUAAAAUAUCCGAACAGAGAAAACAUGCAAGGAAAAAAAUAUCCAAAGUUUAUGAUGGAAAACAAAGAUAAUAGCAGUUUUUAAAAAUGCAUAGAAAAGACGUUGACGGGCUGAUAGGAAUAUAAUAGAUAUUUCCAAUCACUCACGGCAGCGCUUGCGGUUGUUCUGAGCGUCUGAAAUCUCUGGAGGAUCUGCUGCAGCACAUUCCUCAUCGACCUUGUCUCCCAAAACAGACGGGCCCGAUGAUGCUGCCAAUCCUACGUCACCUUCACUGCUUGGAAGAAUGUUCUCACUGUGCUCCUGAAAUACAUGAACGUGAUGACAAGUAAAAUUAGACAACCUUGCCAUGGUUCUCUAUGAUGGUAUCUUCAGUGAUGGUGGAGAUAGUGAAGGUACGGUGAUUGCUAUUAAUGGNNNNNNNNNNNNNNNNNNNNNNNNNNNNNNNNNNNNNNNNNNNNNNNNNNNNNNNNNNNNNNNNNNNNNNNNNNNNNNNNNNNNNNNNNCAAACCCUUAUAUGAACCGGUGGUGUUGGUUUAAUUAUUUAAUUAAUCAACUUCUAAACUUAGCUAUAUAUGCCUACACAUUCUCUUCCUCAUUUGUUGCCGUCAACAUCAUCGUAGAGAGAGGGAGAGAGCUCAGCCAUGUUUCUUCUCCUUACUUGUCGAUCUCUCUUCCCCAUGUAAUCGCCAUAUUGUACUGGUCUCGAGAUUGGUUUGCAUGCAGUCCUUCACCUAAGAAGAACGUGAUCAUCGCCGUUACCGCACAACACUACCGUCUUCAUCACCACCAUCGCCAGCCAUCACCAAAUCAUAGACGCAUCACCAUGCCUGCGCAUCACCCCGGAUGAGCAGUCACACCAUAAGAGGCCACAGUUGGUGCUUCAUUCAGAGAUAUGUAAUGGAACCGAGAGGUGUAGACACGGAGAAGAGACGUACGUAUCGGAGCUGCCCGUCAUGACACUUACGGUGCCGUUCUACACUCAUCAAUGGUGAGCUAUCGGAGAUGCGGUUAAUGUCACCGGAGUCCAAGAUCCAUCGUCGCAAGUCAACGCAGUGAAGGUUAAAAUGUCUUCCCUUUUGUUUCUUGAGAUACAAGUAACAUUCAUAGCAUAUUCCUAAACGUGGCUUUGCAUGGGUGUAAGGACCUAGAUUAUGAGUUCACGUCCAUCACGUAAAAAGAAGGCAUAAGAAGUGGUAAUGGAACAUGUCUCAGUCAACGCCAUCAAUAUUAUGAAGAAAUAUUCUAAUGUGUUCCGUCUGUAUGAAAUCGAGUCUGUCAUUGUUUGUUUAGUUUUAGGCUCUUUGCUUAAACUGGAACUAGGGUGUUAGAUGGUUCAACAGUGGUUGUUCAUUUAUAAUUGAUAAUAUAUAUGUAUAUAUAUAGUAUAUUGAGGUGAUUUGGGUGUUAGCCGACCAUGGAGACGUAAUUCUGUGUGUCGGCCGGAGACCAGUACAUUGGGUGUGGUGUAUGCUGCGGCACAGCUUAGUCGACCUGUUGUGUCAAGGCUUUGAGGUCGAUAAAUCGUCUACGGGCGUGUGUUACCGAGCACAUAUUCGGUGGUGUUUUUGGCCUGUUAGUGGGCAGCGAGUGUGCACCUCGCUAGGACCAUUGUUUGAUCUCUAGGUACUUUAGGUACUGCAACGUGUUAGGAUUAAAUUAUAUUUAUUCGGAGUGCUCUGUCCGGGUCCAUGGACUUCGGGUUUAGUAUCCCAUACCUUACUGAGUGACUUCCCCGUUACUCACCCCUCUCUCUUCCCCAUUUCAGGUGAGACUGGCGAGUAUAUGAUAUUUGGACGGAUUGGUGCUACUGAGCUUUUUAUUUGGAUUUUUAUUUGGGCUUUGGGUAAGUGUAAUUGGGCAUAUGAGCUUUUAUUAUACGAGAUACUGUUGGUGGUCUGCACUUCUCCGGAUUGGAAGUGACGGGUGUCACAUAAUCACUUUAGAAUCAUGGAAAAUACUUAUGUAGUCGAAGUUAUUAAACUUUUUUCUUCGGACUACUGGGCAAAACGAAGGGUUUGUGGGUAUUCUUGCACCUUAUUUGGCUAGGAUUCUCCCGGUUCGUGAUUUUAAGCUUUUAAUGUUUUGAAAUAUGUGAUCUUGCUGCUUAAUGUAUGUUACUAUACCUUAAUAUACACAUGACAAAAGUUAUACGCUCAAGUCAGAUUAUAUAUAUUUAUGGACAUGUUUAUUUGAAAUCAUAGUAAAAUAGUUACUAUAAGUGGAUAGUUGCACAUUAUUUUCAAGAACAUAUAAGCAUAUUAUUUUUCCAUGUUUCGGUUUUUUUACUCAAAAAAUGUUUCAGGUUUUUUACCGUUCUCUACUUAGUUGCUCAAAAGAAAAGAAGAUGUAUUCAAGUAGAAACACGAAGAGCAUUUACCUUUUAUCAAAAGCACUUCUUUUGAUUCUACAAACAUUUGCAUCUGUAUUUGUGGUUGAGUUCUAUUUUCCUCCUCUUUCUUCUCAUUCUAAAGUCUUUUUAUCAAGUCCAGUCUCUAGCUAUUCGGAUCACUGUGUCCUCUCUUUCUCAAACUUUCAUAGUCAUAAACUGGUUCGGAUGAAAUAAUGCCGUGCUCCACCAUAAUCAACGAAACUGUGCAAAGAAGGGAGAUAGCAUCACUGAAAAAUAUAUGUUUUUGAGAUUGAAGAAGGAGAACAGGGAUUUGAAAUUAUGAAUUAUGAAUUAUGAUUUAUAAAUCUGAGGGAGAAUGGGUUUUUAACAUUAUGUCUUUAUUGAUCGGGUUUCUCUGAUAUUUUUUAUUGAAUCUAGAAAUUUGAGAGAUAUAAAAAAAUGUGGACAAUGAAGCAUCAUGGGUAGUUUCGAGUAACUGUUAUACUAAUCAUGUUUUUAUCUUCUAGUAAUUAUCUUGUUUCAUUGAUUUUUAUUUUAAUUUUGUACAUUUAUUAUGUGGCAACAUCUUAUCCGCCAAGCGACUUGAGAUUUUAGUGAUUAAUAAUUAAAACAAUACUAUAUUAGUAAAAACCAAACUGAACUUUUCUUUCCUCUAGGACCAGAUUUCAAGGGACUAGUCUUCUGUGUUGCAUCGGCCCGUCCCUAACUUUGGGACUGAAACCCAUCGAGCAAAGAUGCUGCGAGUAGCAGGGAGGAGGCUCUUCUCUGUUUCGCAGAGAUCUUCUUCGAAUGCGACCUCGAGACCAUACCAGAUCUGUCCCCUCCUCUGCAGAUCUUUCACGUUUCCAUUCUUACCACCGGAGCCUUCUAAGAGGUCUGUCCCUUUCUCGUUCUCUGGACUCAUUUCAAUUUCAAUUUUCUAUCUACGAGAUGAUCUGUAAGGAACAAACGUGCCCAUUUCCUCUCGUUCUUCUCCUUGUCGGAAUAGUCUUUCUUCUAUGAUUUGCUUCUUUCAUGCAGCCAAAAAAAAAAAAAAUGAAUCUGAUCAUAUACAGCAUCUGAUCAUUUAAAUUUGACUUUUUUCCGUUUAUUAGAGUAGUUUAGUUUACACAGAAUCUGAUGUUGUUGUAAGAAUACUGUUUGGAUGAAUCUCAUAUACUCCUGCUUUAUUCUUUCUGCACGGAUUUAGUUUUUAUUUACUUUUGCUUAUUCCUUAGUUAAUGGUGUCACAUCUUGAUGGUGGGUGGUGGUGGUAGAUCUUCUGUUGCUUGUUACUUAAUUGUUUUAGGAUACUUGACCCCCGUUCCCAUAAAAACAAGUUUGCUUUGUUGUCAGGUUUCGCUUCUCAAGUCCUUACCCAAGGGAAUGAGGUAGGUUUUGGUUCUGAACCAGCAACCGUCGAGGCAGUCAAGACGCCUAACUCAAAGAUUGUGUAUGAUGACCACAACCAUGAGCGUUACCCACCUGGUGACCCUAGCAAGCGUGCCUUCGCCUAUUUCGUCCUCUCUGGUGGGAGGUUUGUCUUCGCCUCUGUUCUACGCCUUCUUGUUCUGAAGCUCAUUGUCAGCAUGUCCGCAAGUAAAGACGUCCUUGCACUUGCAUCCCUCGAGGUUGACCUCGGUAGCAUCGAACCGGGAACCACUGUGACAGUGAAGUGGCGUGGAAAGCCUGUCUUUAUCAGGAGAAGGACAGAAGACGACAUCAAGCUGGCCAAUAGCGUGGAUCUUGGAUCUCUGAGAGACCCGCAAGAAGAUGCUGUCAGGGUGAAGAAUCCGGAAUGGCUAGUGGUGGUUGGAGUCUGCACUCACUUGGGAUGCAUCCCUUUACCUAACGCUGGUGAUUAUGGAGGUUGGUUUUGCCCCUGCCACGGAUCACAUUACGAUAUCUCAGGGAGGAUCAGGAAAGGUCCUGCACCGUAUAACCUGGAAGUACCAACCUACAGCUUCUUGGAAGAGAACAAGUUACUCAUUGGUUGAUGAAUAAAAGCACAGUUCAGCGUCAGUGAACUUCGUCUGUUUCUCUUUUUCUAUAUUCCGGCAAUUUUAGAGCAAGAUUGUCUUGUUUGUUGCUGAAUAAUAAAAACUUGUCAUAUUUAUUGAACUUGUACUCAAUCAGCUCUGUUUUUUGAUGAUGAUAAUGAUGAUGAUGGUGAAAGACUCAGUUCAUAGUCUGUGUUCAUUCCUUUAUAACUCCUAUUUGUCCUGUGUAUGUGAGAGAUCAGUUAGUAUCUAAAAUUUUCAAGGCUUCAGCAUCACAAAUUAAGAAUUGUAUUUAGGCUAUUUCCAACUCCGGUCUAUUUUUCACUCUAAAAUAGAGUUUAGAGUAAAAAUGUUGGUAUUCUGUUUCUCACACUAUAUUAUAGUAAAAAAUUGGUUUACUCUGAAUAUAGUAUAACUAUUUUUUUUUGUUCUAUCAUUCUAUUUUCUACAUUGGAACAAAGCAUUGAAGAUGGUCUUGCAACAACGAGGAGUUGCACACUACAAAUCUGGAGACAAAAUAUAUAGUUUGACCUUUUUAUACAUGAAAUAGAUUGGGAAAAAAACGUUUGACCUUUUAGCGUUUGGAUCAGGACAAUCGCACCGUUAGCUUACCCAUACUCAGGUGUCCUGGUGGCACACACCAAAAGCCAAAGUCGGAGAGUCCCGUGACCCUUGCAAACUGACAACAGCCAUUCCUAAUUACAAGACUAAAGCAACCUCUCGUGUUUAUCAUAAGACACCACUGGGUUAGUUCUAUGGAUUAUUAAAAUUUUAUUACAUGAUUUUAUGAAAAUAUGACAUCAUUAGGACGUGUGAAUGAUCAAUUAUCAGCAUCUAUCAUCAAUGAUGUAUAAAGUAGAAUGAUAUAUUCGUCGUUUGCGUUCUCCACCUAACUCACGAUUUCUCUUUCACCAACCCCACACCAUUUCUUCUUGUUUUUAUCCUCCGAUCAAACCAAAGAAGAACAUCACUUUCUUGUAUCUCCUAAUGGCGUCCAUUUCCAAUCUCGCAAAUCUUGCACCCGCCACUGCUACCAACUCCAGA
rnacentral:lncRNA from 1 species